rnacentral:rRNA from 1 species
CAGAGGGGGCAAGCGUUAUUCGGAAUUAUUGGGCGUAAAGGGCGCGUAGGCGGCUUUUCAAGUGACGGGUGAAAUCCCUCGGCUUAACCGAGGAACUGCCUGUCAGACUGCAAGGCUUGAGACCGGGAGAGGUGAGUGGAAUUCCCAGUGUAGCGGUGAAAUGCGUAGACAUUGGGAGGAACACCAGUGGCGAAGGCGGCUCACUGGACCGGAACUGACGCUGAGGCGCGAAAGCGUGGGGAGCAAACAGGAUUAGAUACCCUGGUAGUCCACGCCGUAAACGAUGAGUGCUUGGUGUAGCGGGUAUCGACCCCUGCUGUGCCGAAGUCAACACAUUAAGCACUCCGCCUGGGGAGUACGGUCGCAAGACUG